rnacentral:lncRNA from 14 species
UAAGGUGGUAUAGACUUUUCUCAUCUUUCUUCUCUACAGAUUACAUUACAGAAGAAGGAGUGGGAAAAUACCCAACACCCCCUAUGUUUUCUGGAAUAAAUAUUCUGCAUUAGGAAAAACCACGUUCAAUCUCAUAUGCAUAUAUGUGUGAACAAGCAGCAGCACUCUAUGCCCCUGGGACUGGCUCCUAUCCAACGACUGACUUACACUGCAAGGGGAAGCAGGUAUGUUCAUUUAGGAGUAUUUUGAGAUCACGUGAAGUCUCUGGAAAGAGCCUUUGCUUGAUAGAUUACUUCAGUCAAGAGCACCUUUUGGACCAUACUGUGUGGAAGAUUCUUCUGGAAAUAAUUUUCAGACUGAUCUGAGAGACUCUUCUCUGUCCCACCCCGCCAUGUUCAAUUGUAUCUAAGGCUGCAAGGUACAGCUAAGAACUUGGCUUC